CAGCAUCCCUAUGCUUAACAAUGGUGGUGGGGGUACUAGAGCUAAAGCUCAAGCUUGAAUGAGUUUAAGUUCAAGAGCCCUUGCUGCCAUUUUUAAGCAUGGGAAUGCUGAUACAGGAGAUGUGGCAGAACUUUAGUUAGAGCACCCCCACCCGAGCACAUGUAAAUGUGCCCAGAGGUACUAGAUUUAAUGCACAUCAACUAAGGUGCCCCCUAGUAGGGGCUGAAAUAUUAACCAAAACGUGAAUUCACGGCAGCUGUCUUGGAUUCCAAUAUGGCAGCUAUGUACACUGCUUGCCAGAUUGGCAACAUGACUUUUUUGGCAUGGGCAAACCACCUCUACCUGAAACUAUGGAUGCUGCUUCUGGCAAUGAAUUGCCUAGGACAACAAAAUCUAGAAAGAUUAUGGGUCAGUUCAUACCCUACUAUCGAGGCAAACAGGUCUUUAUCUGCUCCCUGUUGUCUAGUGGUGGGGUACUGUAAUAGCCAUUGUCGUGGCAACUACGCCAGGGUAACUCUUUGUUUAUCUGCUCUAGAUGUGUGCCUGAGCCCAGAAGGCUCAUGGUUCAGGUACACCCUACUUUGACUCCCCAGACUCCUCAGCCUGAUUGCUCAGGCACCCAUUUACAGAUUGGGGCAGCUCUCCACACACCUGAAGAACAGAGCCAGGCCUCUACACAAACCUUCACAACUCUUCCACUGCCCUUGCAACACACCCAUCUUUAAUCGGACCAAUCCAUUCAUUGCACCAUUAGGUGCUGAACAACUGUUGCCACCCUCUCCUGGGCCCGUUCCUUUUACAGCCUGAGACCAAACAAGCUUUACUGGUUUUUCUUCCAAAGAAGUCAGAGAUGCCAGCUGAAAAAUUUCACAUCUGUUGUAUCCCCCCUUGAACAUGGGGAAACAGUGUCAUGGCCAUCAUAGAGGACAUUCCAGUUUUCUGUUACCUUGUCAUCUGUCCUCUACUGAUAUGAAACUCAACACCUUUAUGCUACACGGCCCUAGACUCACCUUUACCUCCCCAUGCUGCACACCUCACUGUCCCACUCCCUGGGGAUAGGGCAGGAAGUGGCAGGCAGAGAAGGCCCCAGCUGCUAUUGCAGACAGAGCAACAGUGGGAGCAGCAGCUAAGCAGGUCCCCAGGAUCUGCAACUUAACCCCUACAACUUCCACAUCUUGCAUUAAAGUCUGCUAGUUCCUGGUGUUCAGCAUGUGACCAGUCCAGUCCUUUUCUCUUGAAGAGAAAAAUAGAGGACAUAAAGGCGUCCGGUUUUGUAGCAAUAGAGGACAGAGGACAACUGGAUUGUCCUCUGUGAUGGCCACCCUAGGGAUCUUCAGGGAUGACCGACACUGAAAAGGCUGUUUCCAGUAGAGGUGCAUCGAUACAUCAGUCCGAUAUCAGAUUGGCACCAAUAUAAAGAAAAUUGAUUAUAUCGGAAAUUGGCAUUAUGUGGCCAAUAAUUUGGCCAAUAAAUGCCUGUGCAUGUGCACAGCCACAGUGUAGU